AGAGCAUGCAACCAUUCGAAACGGAAGGGGACGUGGUUGGUAUUAGACACGAGAUUCUUAAAUCGCUUACAUAAAUAGAUACUUCGAUCAAAUUUGAAAUGAAAAAUGUUGUCUACAUUAAAUGUGUUUAACGAUAUAUCCUCAACUCUCACUAAUUUAAAGUUAAUGCCGUUUGUAUAAGCCUACUAUUGGUUUUGUUUACUAUGCUGAAUAAUUAUUGCAGUAAGGUGUCUUUCCCGAGCACGUGACACCUCAUUAAUACAUGCAUAGAAAUAUAAUUACUAGAACUGACAACUUGGAGGGGAGAGAGGGUUGGAGGAUGGAAAUGGCGGCUAGUACUGCAGACGAAAUGGAGGAAAUGGAGAAAAGGUUGGUGAAGCAAAUGGUGUGGUGGAAUGCUAACGAUAUGGGUGUCAGUUCUGAUGGUACGGAGCAGAAGGAUGAGGGUCAAGCACCGGCAUGGUCGGUAGUGGAAAGAAGAGAAAUCAUGAUACAGAAAGCUGUGGAUCAUCUAGUAAACAAACGAUAAAGAGGGACAAGGUCCCAGGUCCCGAGAACCUUUUUAUUCUCACUCAACAGCUUCAUCAUUACUCAAGGCCACAAUGGAACAGAAUAGUGCACCUUAGUGGAUCUUGACUAAUCUGAGAGCAGAGUACUGGUGCACACGGAUGGCAUCGCUUAAGAAAAUCUCAAGGAAGGACACUGCAGUACUCUCUUGGAUUGGCUGGAUCAGCAGUAGGGGACACAGAGACCACAGGAAGUAGAAGUGGGCUCCGAAACCAGACUUUAUCUAACAUUUCUUUAUCCAAUAAACUCCCCCGUUCAUUCCAUGCCUCUCCUUGUGCUGUGACCACAAACAAAUCGGUUUCGUAAACCCUGUUGCAUUUUGAGUUAAACUUAGUCUGUUAUUGAUGCUAAUCAUUUCAAUCUGUUCAAAAUUAUGCUGAACAGAAAGGUUCAGGUUUAUUUAAAAAGUGUUUUAGGUGUUAAUAUGCCAAAAUGCAAUAGAAAUAUUUUUACAAAAUUGCACCGGAGUGAUGUUUUGUAUGAUGGAAUGUGGCCCAGUGUCAGACGAGAGGAUGACUCACUCAGUGAGAUCAAAUACUGUAUCUUGAGGAAUAUGACAAUAUCCUGUGGCUUUAGAGGGCUAGAGAUGUUUUUGUGUAGCAUUAUUUUCGGAGGGGAACAUGAAUGUUCUGGCGGAAUAACUCAUUUUGGCGUUGAUGAUGAUAUUAUUUGCUCUUCCAGAUCACUGUCUUUCAUAUCAAAUCACAAGUGAACACAAAUGUUGUUUGUUUUUUGGUGCCUUUUCUUCCUGCCGCCAAGCCAACCCAGACAAAGCCACUGGUCCAAUCACUUUGUGAAGCACCAACCGUGCUCAAUGAUCCAUGCUGCCAGUCUGUUGAUGAGGGCUGGACUAGAUUAAUUGACUAUCUGUCCAUUUCAAGGGAAACCUAUCCCUUCCCAUCAAUAUCAGCAUUUAGAACAGUUAGUGAAAACAAAGCUGAAGCUCUUUUCUCAGAUAUCGGGUCAAUGCCCUUCAUUACGCAAGUGUACACUUACCCUAACCAAGUGCAUUCGGAAAGGAUUCAGACCCCUUGACUUUUUCCACAUUUUGUUACGUUACAGCUUUAUUAUAAAAUGUAUUACAUUUUUGUUUUCCUUUCAGCCUACACAAAAUACCCUAUAAUGACAAAGCAAAAACAGGUUUUUAGAAUUUUUUUGAAUAAAAAAAAAAGGAAAUAUCACAGUAUUCAUGCCCUUUACUCAGUACUUUUUUGAAGCACCUUUGGCAGUGAUUACAGACCAAAAAGGUGCUUCAACAAAGUCUCCCUGACCAAAGUACCUUCUCCCCUGAUUGCUCAGUUUGGCCCCACGGCCAGCUCUAGGAAGUGUGUUGGUGGUUCCAAACUUCUUCCAUUUAAGAAUGGCCACUGUGUUCUUGGAGACCUUCAAUUGCAUACAUUUUUUGGUACUCUUCCCCAGAUCUGUGCCCUCGACACAAUCCUGUCUCUGAGAUCUACGGACAAUUCCUUCGACCUCAUGGCUUGGUUUUUGCUCUGACAUGCAUUGUCAGCUGUGCGACCUUAUAUAGACAGGUGUGUGCCUUUCCAAAUCAUGUCCAAUCAAUUGAAUUUACCACAGGUGGACUCCAAUCAAGUUGUAGAAACAUCUCAAGGAUGAUCAAUGGAAACAGGAUGCACCUGAGCUCAAUUUCGAGUCUCAUAGCAAAGGGUCUGAAUACCUAUGUAAAUAAGGUAUUUCCGUUUUAAAUUUUUCAUAAAUUAGCAAACAUUUCUAAUAACUGUUUUUGCUUUGUCAUUAAGGGGUAUUGUGUGUAGAUUGAUGAGGAACAAAAUGUAUUUAAUACAUUUUAGAAUAAAGCUGUAAUGUAACAAAAUGUGGAAAAGGGAAGGGGUCUGAAUAUUUUCUGAAUGCUCUGUACUACACUGAGUGUACAAAACAUUAGGAACACCUUCCAAAUAUUGGGACAAUUCGUCGGGACAUGGACUCUACAAGGUGUCAAGCGUUCAACAGGGAUGCUAGCCAAUGUUGACUCCAAUGCUUCCCACAGUUGUGUCAAGUUGGCUGAAUGUCCUUGGGUGGUGCGCUAUUCUUGAUAUAUACUGGAAACUGUUUAGCAUGAAAAACCGAGUAAGUAACAUCAAUAAGGGAUCAUACCUUACACCUGGAUUCACCUGAUCAGUCUAUGUCAAGGAAAGAGCAGGUGUUCCUAAUGUUUUGUACACUCAGUGUACAAAUUACAGUAUGAGCCUGUCUUGACUGCAGCUGUACAGAAGACCCCCAACCUUACUAAUGACAAUAUGCCCCGAUGCAUACACUCUAUUGAUGCAAGUCCACUGCCUUGGGUGUGAUGAAAGUGCUCUGCAAAUUAAAUGAAUUAUUAUUACUCACAGUUCUUUCCCUUCUCCUCAUGCUCUUUUCCCACAUGCCAUACCACACUUCUCAGAUGGCUGGUCAGAGAGACUAUGCUUGCCAUUGCUGGAGAGGGGCCAAAGGGACCCCUGAAGGACCCCCACCUGCAGGAAAAGUGCUCUAAACAGGCAAAAAUACAUCUCAGCCUCAUGGCAAAAUAUGUAAUAGCAAAAUGUUCUCUCACUCAUGGCAGGGUGUGUGAAUAGCAGGAUAUUGACAAUAAAACUGCACAUUUAUUUCUUUGGCCCAUGGCAAAAUGUGUAGAAUUGCA